GGAUGGAUGAAUGGAGGCAAAGAGGGAGAGGAAGAGGCAUUCAAUGGUCCAGACUUCUCUCCGCAUUUGUAGAUUUAAGUUUAGGUGUCCGCCUCUAGCCAGCUUCCAGUUAAUCCUCAACAGCUUCUAGUGAUUAGAAGUUAGUCUAUUUAGCAUGCUAUAUCCUUCUUCCAUGGGUUUUAGUUACAAGUUAUACGAUUAGGAUUGCGAGAACAGUAGUGAACUAAACUUCCCAGUAAGAGGUCUUCACACCAGGGAAGUGUUACUUUGCUGCAGCAGCCCUGCCUCGUCAGUCAUUAGGAAGCUGCAGGUUGUCAGAGGCUUCUCUUGCGCGCACACAAGCGCAGACACACACGCACACACACACAAAACCACAGCACUAAAACUAAAUUAAGAAGCCGAUGAUUAAGACAAGCGUCUACGAGGCCUGUCAUUUCAGCAUCCUUCCAUCAUAACAUUGUGGCACCGAGAAAUUUGCUUGAAAACCCUGGAAAAAAAUGUCUAUGGGAGAGCCUCGUGUUUGAGGCUGUUAAUAUCAAAUAUAGACUGGGAACUGCCUCGGAUGCAAGACAGUAUUCCGCCGAGGAAAGGAACACUGCAGAGACCUUGGUGCUAUCCGCGCACUCCCGAAACUCUGGAUUGACUUGAUCGUCUCUGAAAAUGCAGAACAACCCAUGAGAUCCCUCCUUUCCACCAACCGUGUGGAGGAUGCUUGCAGAACAGCCCUGAAAACAAAACAACUUAAUUGAAGGCAGUUCAAUUUCAGUGCAGCAAUUGUGUUAUGGAACACCUAACAUUUCUUUAUCUGUAACUAACUUAUUUAACUUUGGAUAGUUCAAUAAAUGUCAGCUAUGCCAAGUAUA